rnacentral:lncRNA from 1 species
CAAAAUAUUAUUAGUUUUUUCUAAAAUUAAAAAGGAAGAAGACAAUAAAAAAUGAAAAUAUUAUUAUUUGUUAUUUUAUUUCAUUUCAUUACAAUCAUGUUACUAUAUAAACCCACAACUACCAGGUUCUUGAAAUAGAACUAAAAACAAAUAAGAUUGUUGGGGUAACCAUACAAUAUCCAAAUGAUAUGCGACAACACAUAUAUUAGGUGUUUGUGUGUUCUCUCGGGUCUCUCUUUUUAUGAGAUGUUUGUAAACUACUAAAGAUAUUUCUUUAUCUUCUCGGAUUAAGCAAUUCAUGUCCUAGUACUCAUUAACAAUGACUCUUGUUUAUGCAUGUUCUUUUAAAAGGAAACCGACAAAAAAAAUAUUUCUACAAUCUGAAUCAUCAAAACAUUUAAUUCUUUCUCCUACAAUAAAAACACACAAUAAGGUUAUUAAAAUAAUAAAAAAAUACAAGGUAUGAAAUAAAAAAUAAAGUGUUAAAUGAAUGAAUUGAAGUUUCCUUCAAUUUUCGAUCCAAUAAAAAAUAAAAAGAUUAAUAUAAUCAUAACUUAAUAGAACUUUAUUAUUUCUAUCCUAUUUCUCCUCGUUAUAUUUAAUAAAUUAUUUUAUAACUUUAUAGUUUAU